rnacentral:rRNA from 1 species
CCUACGGGAGGCAGCAGUGGGGAAUAUUGGGCAAUGGGCGCAAGCCUGACCCAGCAACGCCGCGUGAAGGAAGAAGGCUUUCGGGUUGUAAACUUCUUUUCUCAGGGACGAAGCAAGUGACGGUACCUGAGGAAUAAGCCACGGCUAACUACGUACCAGCAGCCGCGGUAAUACGUAGGUGGCAAGCGUUAUCCGGAUUUACUGGGUGUAAAGGGCGUGUAGGCGGGAAAGCAAGUCAGAUGUGAAAACCAUGGGCUCAACCUGUGGCCUGCAUUUGAAACUGUUUUUCGUGAGUACUGGAGAGGCAGACGGAAUUCCUAGUGUAGCGGUGAAAUGCGUAGAGAUUAGGAGGAAUACCAGUGGCGAAGGCGGUCUGCUGGACAGCAACUGACGCUGAGGCGCGAAAGCGUGGGGAGCAAACAGGAUUAGAUACCCGGGUAGUC